AUAUAUCCCCAGAUUUUGUCUGGUGUAGUAGUUUGUUGGCCUGGCCACCAGGAGCUCUACAUUUUCACCAGAUUUCCGAAAUCUGGUGGCCAAUUUCACCAGAUGGCAACGCUGGACUAGAAGUAUGCUACCAGCCAAAGAAUUUUCUAUUUCGUUUCAUGCAGCUAAAAAACACCUAGUAUUCAAGGCUUAAGAUGUGGAGUUGUGACCUCUGCAAUUUUUCUUGUAAGGGUGCUGAAGCGACAGUCUUCACUAAGUGGUACCUGUGUCCAAUAUGUUUUAGGGAAAGUAAUGUUACGUUGGAGGUUGCGAUGCGCGAACAAGGAAAGGCCGCCGAUAUAAAGAUCAAUCCCGGAGGACAACCACCUAAACACGUGUACCCAAAAUACGAAGUUUUGUAUGCUACACAACACUGCAUUAUUACCGGUAACGUGCCGCAGCCAACGCUUAGAACAUACUGCACCUACUGGGUCAAGAAGAGCGAUGUAAAGAAUCGGCACUGGGCUUGUGACUUCAUAUUAAACCAUUACUGCCGAAGCCCAGAAAUUGUCAUUAAGGAUACAAAGGAAUGUUGGCCUGAAUGAAAUGCAUAAAGAUCAAAAUGAACUACACCAAUACAA